AUAUCUAAGCGCGUCUGCUAUUCGAACCACGCUACUCUGUCAUUCUGUGUUCAAGCAAAGUUAGCCAGAAAGCAAGUUCCAAAGGAUUUCGUUUGUGUUAAUUAAAUUAAUGAAAUAUCUUUCAUAUAACUUUUUACCGCUCAAUGUGUUUAAAAGUUGGUUGCUGAAAGACCUUGCAUUCAACGGAAGCUACCAACUUGGUUUGACUAGUCCAGCAGUCCAUUUCAACUGGUACGCUGUUUAACAAUCAAGGUGUUGUCUGGUUUAUAAUUAGCCUUACUCAUCAUUCGUAUUUUACUUUGGCUGUUUAUAGUGUUAGGUAUUACAACCCGUUGCCAAUUUUUGUACUUAGGGGAGACUGGAUUAAGCCGGGACGGUUUUCGUUUUCCCCCUAUAUCUCCCAAACUAA